CCUUGAUGAAGGUAUAUAUAAAGAAAAGAAAACCCUAAUAGGAUUAGCUUUCUCUUUACCAACUCAUCUAGUUUUCUCUCCAUUAAAGAAGGCUUGUCAAUCUACAGGGGUCAAGAGGGAGAAACACAAUUCUAGUUACUUGUUCACUUGAAAUCAAUUACUAUUGUUAUGGAUCAAGGUGAUACAAUCAAAGUUCCCAUUGGAGAAGGAUCAAUGUGACACUUUUGACACAUCACAAGAGGUAGUGGCUAAAAAGAAAGAGGAGAACACACAUGGUAUAGGUAAGUAUAAAGGUUGGUGUACCAAGCCACUCAUGAGUAGGCAUGGUGGUUUAAUUUUAUAAUACACUAUAGUGUGGUGAUAUAUUCACAUGUUGAUUCGUGAUUUUGGGGAUACAGAUGUUGGGGUAAUUUUGUGAUGUGAGAUAUAUAAGAUAUAUGAUAUAUUAGUAUGUGAUUAAUUAACAUAUUGUGUAAAUAAUCUCUAGUAAAUUAUUGGGAAAUGUGGUAGCAUGUUAUUUUA